rnacentral:rRNA from 1 species
GUGGGGAAUUUUGGACAAUGGGCGCAAGCCUGAUCCAGCAAUGCCGCGUGCAGGAAGAAGGCCUUCGGGUUGUAAACUGCUUUUGUACGGAACGAAACGGUCCUGGCUAAUAUCCGGGGCUAAUGACGGUACCGUAAGAAUAAGCACCGGCUAACUACGUGCCAGCAGCCGCGGUAAUACGUAGGGUGCGAGCGUUAAUCGGAAUUACUGGGCGUAAAGCGUGCGCAGGCGGUGCUGUAAGACAGGCGUGAAAUCCCCGGGCUCAACCUGGGAAUUGCGCUUGUGACUGCAGUGCUGGAGUGCGGCAGAGGGGGAUGGAAUUCCGCGUGUAGCAGUGAAAUGCGUAGAUAUGCGGAGGAACACCGAUGGCGAAGGCAAUCCCCUGGGCCUGCACUGACGCUCAUGCACGAAAGCGUGGGGAGCAAACAGGAUUAGAUACCCUGGUAGUCC